rnacentral:lncRNA from 1 species
GUUGGAAUAAUAAAUUAUUAAACUUGAUUUGUAGAAGAAAAAUCUAGAAUCAAAUAAAGUAAAAGAAAACAAAAGAAAAUAAUAGAACUUAGAAGAGAAUUCUAGAAGCAGCUAUCUAAUUAAGUAAAGAAAUUAGUAGAAAAUGCUAGAACUCCAAAACAAAGUCGGUGAAACCAACAUUGUAAAGCUAUAUAUAUAUAUGUCCAUUUGUAAUGUGUGUAGGAUAGUGAUGUGAAGAAAAGUUAGU